rnacentral:piRNA from 1 species
UGUCCCUUGAAUUUUGCCGGGCACGAUGCCU